rnacentral:tRNA from 1 species
AGCCCGGUGGUGUAGUGGCCAAGCAUAGGGGCCUCUGGAGCCCUUGACAAGAGUUCGAAUCUCUUCCGGGCUACCA